ensembl:lncRNA
CCCAUUAUUCCUGCCCAGCUCUCACUCAGGAAAAACUUCAGUGGCGCUCCGCUCUGCUCGUGUGAACAGUCUGCAUGUGAGUGCGACCGGGGAGAGUUCUCUCGUGUGUGUGUGAGAGUGGUUGGGUUACUGCAACGGCAGUGUGUGAGUGAGUGUGUUUGUGUGGCUUUGGUCAAUUGCAGCAAGCGCUGUGUGUUUUCCUAAGUGGAGCUGGAGUGUGAGUUUGGUUUCACCGGCAAGAUCAGGAUACACAGAGACAGAAGUUGUACCUGCAGGACAGACUAGCCGGACCCCUCUCCCCCCCUCUCUCUCUCUCUCUCUCUCUCUCUCUCUCUCUCUCUCUCUCUCUCGCUCUCUCUCUCGCUCUCUCUCUCUCACUAUCUCUUUAUCUCUCUUUCUCUCUGUCCCUGAGGCACCAUUCCAACGACAGCUUUUUUCUGUUUUUAAAAGGGCUUUCUGGAUGAAGUCGCGUGGAUCCGUUUUCAAACCUGCCUCACAUUUUUCUUCAUGCCCAUUUUUACAAGCCGAUUCUCUUUUGAAGUUCUGUCAAACAGGAACUCAGCAGGACUCUAAGGCGCGCUCCACACUUUGCAUUUGUAGCACUAUGAGCUGCGGGCGUCAGUGUGAGAAUGGCCACGAGUAGAGGGGGCAUGCCUGGCUCUGUGCAGCAUUGAAGCCGCUCUCUAAAAUGAGCCAAUAAACAGACCUGUCCUGCGAUCCCUUCCCUUGAAUCCCCUCCAACCUGCCACCAGCGUGGCGUGGCCCCCCAGCGGCUCUGGGGCCGACCUGGGACUGACAGUCAGUCCUGCUUGUCUACGGUAGCUACCGGUGGCAUCAGAACCAUGCAGGGCUCAGGUGGACUCUGAUAUCGCCCCGGGGGAAAAAGAAAGUAUUGGAACUCUACCAGAGUUUCCCUGGAAACUGAACGAGGGGAAGUGAGGAGAAGUGAGGUACAUCCUACACAGCACAUCGGGACGUGGACCCUUCUGGAAUACAUCCCAUGAUCCUUCACUGCGAGGACAAACCCUGAGUGGAUGGACCAAGUCGGACCGGCCUAGUCAGAAAAUUGGAACCGAAAAAAAAAAACAAGAACAUCCUGCUUCUGGCUCAGGGAAAUACACCUAAACCCCAGUUUGAACGCACACCUUCCACGCCGCCAAGAUGAUGACCAUGAUGGUGAUGACGGCGGCCAUGAUGUUGACCUGCGGCUCUCUGGUGCUGCUGGGGUUAGCCGCGGCGGCGCAUGCUACCUCAAGCGCCACG